CUGGCUCAGAUGAACGCUGGCGGCAGGCCUAACACAUGCAAGUCGAACGGUAACAGGAAACAGCUUGCUGUUCGCUGACGAGUGGCGGACGGGUGAGUAAUGUCUGGGAAACUGCCUGAUGGAGGGGGAUAACUACUGGAAACGGUAGCUAAUACCGCAUAACGUCGCAAGACCAAAGAGGGGGACCUUCGGGCCUCUUGCCAUCGGAUGUGCCCAGAUGGGAUUAGCUAGUAGGUGGGGUAACGGCUCACCUAGGCGACGAUCCCUAGCCGGUCUGAGAGGAUGACCAGCCACACUGGAACUGAGACACGGUCCAGGCUCCUACGGGAGGCAGCAGUGGGGAAUAUUGCACAAUGGGCGCAAGCCUGAUGCAGCCAUGCCCGCGUGUAUGAAGAAGGCCUUCGGGUUGUAAAGUACUUUCAGCGGGGAGGAAGGGAGUAAAGUUAAUACCUUUGCUCAUUGACGUUACCCGCAGAAGAAGCACCGGCUAACUCCGUGCCAGCCGCCGC
rnacentral:rRNA from 1 species